AGGGUGUAAACGCUGCGGGCUUGGUGUUGGGGGUCCGUUUGUAGGGCGCCCAGUGCCGGAGAGAAGUUGUUAAGCCUGCUGCUUGGGGAGUACGUCCGCAAGGAUGAAACUUAAAGGAAUUGGCGGGGGAGCACCGCAACGGGAGGAGCGUGCGGUUCAAUUGGAUUCAACGCCGGAAAUCUUACCGGGACCGACAGCAACAUGAAGGCCAAGCUGAAGACUUUGCCGGAUUAGCUGAGAGGUGGUGCAUGGCGUAGACGUCU
rnacentral:rRNA from 1 species